rnacentral:rRNA from 1 species
AACGAACGCUGGCGGCGUGCCUAACACAUGCAAGUCGAGCGCGAAAGUCCCCUCGGGGGCGAGUAGAGCGGCGGACGGGUGAGUAAUACGUGGAUAAUCUGCCCUUGAGCUCGGGAUAACCCCGCGAAAGUGGGGCUAAUACCGGAUAAGACCACGUGACCCAAGUCACGGGGUAAAAGGUGGCCUGUAUUCAUACAUGCUAUCACUUGAGGAUGAGUCCACGGCCUAUCAGCUUGUUGGUGAGGUAAUGGCUCACCAAGGCUAUGACGGGUAGCCGACCUGAGAGGGUGAUCGGCCACACUGGGACUGAGACACGGGCCCAGACUCCUACGGGAGGCAGCAGUGGGGAAUAUUGCACAAUGGCGCAAGCCUGAUGCAGCGACGCCGCGUGAGGGAUGACGGUCUUCGGAUUGUAAACCG